GCUUUUUGAUUUCUAAAAUAAAAAGUCGGGCCUGCCCGGUGAAUGUAAAUUUAAACGGCUGCAACGAGAGUUGUGCUAAGGUAGCGCGAUAAUUUGUCUCUUAAUUGGAGAAUGGUAUGAAAGGUUUGACGUAGAUCAAUUGUCUCUGAAGAAAAAAAUGAAGUUUCUUUUUAAAUGAAAAAGUUUAAAUUUUUGUAAAAGACGAGAAGACCCUGCCGAGCUUGAUUAAACUUAUAAUUUAAUUAUUGUUAUUGUUUUUUAAGUUGAACCUUAGUUGGGGAAAGCUAAACUUAAGAGAAUAAGUUUAUUAAAGACACAGAUCCUCUUCGAGAGAAAUUGGUAAAAGCUACCGCAGGGAUAACAGCGUAAUUUUUCUUGAGAGAUCUAAUUGAGUGAAAAGUGUGCGACCUCGAUGUUGGAUUAGGAAAACUUUUUGGUGCAGCAGCUAAAAAUUGUAAGACUGUUCGUCUUUUAAAUUCCU
rnacentral:rRNA from 1 species